CAGAGGAGUUCAUUCUAGUGCCACUCAUAUAAGAAGGGGGAGGAUGUCUACUCAGCAUGCAUUAAUAUGCGGCACAUAGCAACGUGUCUGAAUGCCAGUCUUCAAUUCUUCAUUACACAAAAUGGCUGGAUUGCAGUGAUUGUUUUCGUCUGCAUACACACACACUCUCAAGGCAUUUUCUCUUCCAGCCUAGGCUUAUCAGUGUAGUGGCAUGUGUGUGAAGUUGUCUGUGGCAUGCAUGAUGCACAAGGGGAUUCCUGCCAAACAUCAAGGCCUUUUUUUUUUAAUGCCAUAGAUCAACAAGUGGCAAAAUCAAUGGUGUACAGUUAUUCAGCAGUGUAAUUCAUUUCACUGGCUUUGGCUGGUAGCCAGAUCCGCCAUCUGUCUUUCGCUGUGCCUUCUCUCUCGCUUGAAUUUGUCCUACAUUUUGUUAUGAUAUGUGCUUGCCAUCUUUAUUGCGCGACAGAGCAUUAAGAUGGAUCUGUCUCACAAGGGAACAUUUCCUGCCUCAUUAGAGUAUCUUCGUUUUCUUUAUUGGAGACUGGCACCAUACGCCACUGCACAGCUCAUGGAAUGCCUGCUGUUGGAUACUUGCAUAUCUCUGCCACCAAGCAAUCUCUUGCAAUGGAAAUAGGGUGACUUCACCAGGAUCUUAUGCGUGCUUGCUGUUUGAAUCUGCAGAAAAGUGAAUAAUCAAUUAAGUAUUGAUUUCUUGUACGAUUUGGUAAAUUUCAAAAGCAAGACAAAGAGGAUGGCUUAAAGGAAAGCACUGCAGGGACUUGGCGUAAAUUAAACAACUAACAGCAGUGAAGAAUAAAAUAACACCUCAACUGAAUAUUUCCUUGGAAGAAUUAAUACCAGCUAUUGGAAGACAAUGGUGGAUUUAAUCAAACCGGCAAGCGACCGAGCAUUUUAACUAUGAGACUGGAAAAGGAGCUAAUUAUACCCACCUCUUUUAAUGGAGUUAAUUUGACUGAAUGGAUGCAAAUGUGCUUUAUUUAUGGAUGACAAAACAAGCCUUCCAGCAUCGAAGUCGGAAUUAUCACAUAUGUUAAGCAUCAAAACCCUUUUUUUAAAAAAAAAGUCAAACAACAGUAUAUUUUUUUCUGAACAGGUAUUUAUAUAUGAACAGAAGCUUAAGAUGAAUAUUAUUCAUUUACAGACUGCUUUAUUAGAUAUGUGCUUUAAUGAUCUUUUAACAGCGUGCUAUGAAGGAUAAUUUAUAGGAUGUUAUAUCUAACAAUAAAUGUGUAUAUAGUGA